GGGGUUGUGGCUCAAGUGGUAGAGUGCUCGUCGAGGACGUGUGAGGCACUGGGUUCGAUCCUCAGCACCACA
rnacentral:tRNA from 1 species